rnacentral:rRNA from 1 species
UAUCGACGAGUUUGAUCAUGGCUCAGGAUGAACGCUAGCGGCAGGCCUAAUACAUGCAAGUCAAGGGGAUAGCAAUAUCACCGGCGGACGGGUGCGUAACGCGUACACAACGUGCCCAAGGGCGGAGGAAAGCGGCGGGAAACUGCCGGUAAUACUCCAUGGUGUUGUUGAGUGGCAUCACUUAACAACUAAAGUACAAGCGCCCUUGGAUCGGUGUGCGUUCGAUUAGCUAGUUGGCGGGGUAACGCCCACCAAGGCUUCGAUCGAUAGGGGGUGUGAGAGCAUGACCCCCCCANACGGGUACUGAGACACGGACCCGACUCCUACGGGAGGCAGCAGUAAGGAAUAUUGGACAAUGGGCGGAAGCCUGAUCCAGCCAUGCCGCGUGAAGGACGAAGGCGCUCAGCGUUGUAAACUUCUUUUGGAUGGGAACAAUAACUCCGACUUGUCGGAACUUGAGGGUACCAUCAGAAUAAGCACCGGCUAACUCCGUG